GGCCCGAACCUUCACAUAAUUUCCACACACUUGUGAAUCGUUGGAGCGUUUUUUGAAAAAGAGACGCUCUGGCACCCUUUAAUUAUUACAAACACCGAGUUAAUGGAUGUAGUUGUAAACUUGUCUUUUGACAGAAACAAAAAUACAACUUUCGACAACGGAUCUCUUGGUUCUCCCAUCGAUGAAGAACGCAGCGAAACGCGAUAGUUAAUGUGAAUUGCAGAAUUCAGUGAAUCAUCGAGUCUUUGAACGCAUCUUGCGCUCCUUGGUAUUCCGAGGAGCAUGCCUGUUUGAGUGUCAUGAAUCCCUCAGCCCCCAUCGUUUUUUGUUAAGCGAUUGGCUUGGGUCUGGAUUUGGGCGUCUUGCCAAUGCGCUUCUUCAAGUGCUUGGCUCGCCUUAAAGAGAUUAGCUGGACCCUAUUCCGAGCUGGUUCAACUCGACGUGAUAAUUUCAUUCGUCGAGG
rnacentral:rRNA from 1 species